rnacentral:tRNA from 2 species
CCCUGGUUAGCUCAGUUGUAAGAGCGCUCCACUGGAAAUGGAGAGGUCCCGGGUUCGAUACCCGGACCAGGCG